GACGAACGCUGGCGGCGUGCUCAACACAUGCAAGUCGAACGAAGAGCGAUGGAAGCUUGCUUCUAUCAAUCUUAGUGGCGAACGGGUGAGUAACGCGUAAUCAACCUGCCCUUCAGAGGGGGACAACAGUUGGAAACGACUGCUAAUACCGCAUACGAUCUAAACUCGGCAUCGAGGAUAGAUGAAAGGUGGCCUCUACAUGUAAGCUAUCACUGAAGGAGGGGAUUGCGUCUGAUUAGCUAGUUGGAGGGGUAACGGCCCACCAAGGCGAUGAUCAGUAGCCGGUCUGAGAGGAUGAACGGCCACAUUGGGACUGAGACACGGCCCAGACUCCUACGGGAGGCAGCAGUGGGGAAUCUUCCGCAAUGGACGAAAGUCUGACGGAGCAACGCCGCGUGAGUGAUGACGGCCUUCGGGUUGUAAAGCUCUGUUAAUCGGGACGAAAGGCCUUCUUGCGAACAGUUAGAAGGAUUGACGGUACCGGAAUAGAAAGCCACGG
rnacentral:rRNA from 1 species